rnacentral:rRNA from 1 species
AACGAACGCUGGCGGCAUGCCUAACACAUGCAAGUCGAACGAGAUCUUCGGGUCUAGUGGCGCACGGGUGCGUAACGCGCGGGAAUCUGCCCUUUGGUUCGGAAUAACAGUUGGAAACGACUGCUAAUACCGGAUGAUGACGAAAGUCCAAAGAUUUAUCGCCAGAGGAUGAGCCCGCGUAGGAUUAGCUAGUUGGUGUGGUAAAGGCGCACCAAGGCGACGAUCCUUAGCUGGUCUGAGAGGAUGAUCAGCCACACUGGGACUGAGACACGGCCCAGACUCCUACGGGAGGCAGCAGUGGGGAAUAUUGGACAAUGGGCGAAAGCCUGAUCCAGCAAUGCCGCGCGAGUGAUGAAGGCCUAAGGGUUGUAAAGCUCUUUUACCCGGGAUGAUAAUGACAGUACCGGGAGAAUAAGCUCCGGCUAACUCCGUGCCAGCCGCCGCCGUAA